GCUUAUCGGCGAUCUCGACUCGACUCGCUCCGAAAUUUCGCUUCGUUACGUUCCUGGAAAACUUCGCCCCGCUCCAAUGGCUCCAAACCUGCCACUCGGCCAAGUUCGCGGCGCGUUCGACUCGACACUCGACUGCAUUUCAGUGCAUCAAGUGCAUGCGCUGCAUUCAACAGCUGGCUACACUAGCUACAGUAGUGAGUAGUGAGUGGCAGUGAGCGAUUGCUGGUUCCUCGCGUUUCAUGUGAUGAUCGCAACGCGUAGGCUACAUCGAUGACGUUGGCUCGAACAGUGUCGCAUCGAUACACCAUGCACAGUAGUUACGACGUGAGGCCCAGUGAAGAUGCCACCGUCACGACGGUGCCGCAUCAGCGCAUGCACGAGUCAGAGACCAGGAAGGCCACUGAAAAUACUUCCCUGUCUCCGGACAGCAACCAGACCUACUUCGCCGACGAGAGGGUGCAGGUGCCGGAAACGGGACAUACAGGAUUUAGCUUUAGAGUAUUAUGGGCUUUCACAGGUCCUGGCUUCCUAAUGUCCAUAGCUUAUCUGGAUCCUGGCAACAUAGAAUCAGAUCUGCGAUCUGGAGUGGCAGCAAGAUACAAGUUAUUAUGGGUACUACUAAGCGCUACUAUCCUAGGUCUCGUUAUGCAAAGACUCAGUGCGCGCCUUGGCGUAGUAACCGGCCUGCAUCUAGCGGAGAUGUGUUACAGACAAUACAAAAAAGUACCUAGACUAAUUUUAUGGAUAAUGAUUGAAAUAGCGAUUAUUGGUAGUGAUAUGCAAGAGGUAAUAGGAACGGCUAUUGCCCUUUACCUCUUAUCUAAUAAAGCGAUUCCUAUAUGGGGUGGCGUGCUUAUCACAGUAAUUGAUACAUUCACAUUUUUAUUCCUGGAUAAAUACGGAUUGAGGAAGCUGGAGUUUUUCUUCGGUCUUCUCAUCACGGUUAUGGGUGUAACCUUCGGCUAUGAGUAUGUCGUUUCCGCGCCUCCUCAAAUAGAUGUUAUAAGAGGUAUGUUUGUUCCAUGGUACAAUGGAAUGAAUUACGACAAUAAGGUGCUGCUUCAAGCUGUAGGAAUCGUUGGUGCGGUCAUUAUGCCACACAAUUUGUACCUUCACAGUGCCUUAGUCAAAUCUAGAGACAUUGAUCGAAGACAGCCUGCAAAAGUCAAAGAUGCCAACAUGUAUUACUUUAUUGAGGCCUGCAUCGCACUGUUCGUUUCAUUUGUAAUCAAUGUGUUCGUCGUAGCUGUAUUUGCUCAUGGUCUUUAUGACAAAACAAAUAACGAUGUUUAUAAGGUUUGCGAAGCGAAUAAUUAUACUCUCGGCAUACAGACUUUUGAGAAAAACAAUGAAACUUUCGAUGCUGAUCUUUACAAAGGAGGCAUCUUCCUCGGUUGCUCUUUCGGCGCAGCCGCAAUGUACAUAUGGGCCAUCGGUAUUCUGGCCGCCGGUCAAUCAUCCACGAUGACGGGCACUUAUGCCGGUCAAUUCGCGAUGGAGGGAUUUCUGAAUCUACAGUGGGCGCGAUGGAAACGAGUCCUCUUUACUCGAACGAUCGCCAUAGUUCCUACGUUUUUAGUAGCAUUUUUUGCUGACAUGGACAAUUUAAGCAAUAUGAACGACAUUUUAAAUGCUAUAAUGAGCUUGCAAUUACCAUUUGCCACUUUGCCAACAAUCGCCUUUACGAGCUGUGCUCAAAUCAUGGGUGAAUUCAGAAAUGGAAUACUGAAUAGGAUUGUGUCGACUACUUUAUCAGUCCUAGUAAUAACGAUAAACAUUUACUUCGUAAUACAAACUGUUCAAGAAACUAUGCCCCAUCAUUGGGCCAUAUAUUUAGGCAUGUCUAUAUAUGCAAUUUUGUAUCUUAUUUUCUGCGCUUACUUGGCUAUUCACAUGGCUGUGAGCAUGGGCGCAACUUCCCUCGGUAACAAUUGGUUUGUUACUAAGUACAUUGGUACUCCCGUAAGUCCGACGCUCGGUAUAUCGAAUCCUGCCGUUUAUGCCAGUUUUUACAAUACAUCGGAAACCUCGUUAAACACUUAGUCGGAGUAAUGCAAUUGAAUGUGUGAUUUGUAUUCCACAAACACGUGAAAACGAUAUCGUGUUGGAAAGGUGCUUAUAUCAUCUCGUGAUGUCAGCAUGAUGUUCUAUGUCUGAAAAUGAAUUUGAAAGGCUGAGUUAUCGCAACAAAGAACAAAUCCAGCGUUUACUAUUCAAGAAAAUGGCAGUUUUACAGAUUUAUACCAAUCUGUAGCAGAAUGGUAAACUUCUUAACAAAUAUCAGCGUUGGAUAUUUAAACGACAUGCGCUAUGAUGAGGGCAGAAAGUUUUCAAUUAUAUAGUUGAACGAAAGGUAAUAUUUAGUUUCCAAUGUGCCACACUGAUAUUUCAUCAUUAAAUUCAUUAACAUCGAGAAUAUUUUAAAUACAAGUUGCAUAUAAUAAAAGAAUAUAGAUAUAGACCAACAUAUAAAAACACAAGUAAUAAAUAUAAAAAGUCAAUUAAAGAUAAACCUUAUUUGUCAUAGCUGGAUUUUCUGGCUGAUAUUUCUUCUUGAUUUUAUAUUUCUUUUUUUUUCAAGUUCAUUAAAUUUAUCAAUAUUAUCGUGAUAUUACUAUUAUUUUUCAACUUAUAACUGUGUUUUAAGAUCGAAAAUUUAUUCGGCGCGUAAGAAUCGAUGAACUUGAAAAAAAAAAGUUAUAUAAGAAGUCUCAAGACAAAGAUGCAGUUAUGAACAAUUAUUUUGUGAUUUUUAUACAUAUAAAGACAGGAUAAUUUAAAUUAAGUUUACUGUUAAUUAAUAUUUUAAUAAACAACAGCUAUUGUAUAUUGACAUUGUUACAUUCGGUAACCAAUCUUCAUUUAAGUAUUUUCUAUAACGAUAUUUUUUAAAAUGUUGAUCUAUUUUUGUACGUAGAUUUUUUGUAAAUCUUGUACAUAUAUUAAAAUUUGUAUUAAGAUAAAAAAUACACUUUUACAUUAACCUUUAUACAAUUGUCUAAGUGUGUACAUAAAAUAAUGUAAUUUUACAUAAUUUCAAAAAUAAUGUAAACAUUAUUUCGAGUAAAUUCAUUUUUAUUGAUCUGUAUAUAAAAUAAGUAAAAUAUAUCCACAAUAUUUUUGCAAUAGCAACUGAUAGGAUAAAAGUAUGUUCGUCAAUUACAUAUCAUAAUCUGUUGUUUGAGGUAUCACAUAAGUAGUUCUAAUAAGAAUACUUUUUCGCACGUAUUAUCUUUCUUAUUAUUUAUAAGUACUUUAAAGUAAGUCGAGACACGUACCUAGUUGCAAAACUAAGUUAUAAAAUGGUCCAUUUUAAAACGGAACCAUGUUUCACACAUUUUAACUUGUUGCCCGCUGGUGUACAGACGCAUAUUCACAAAAUUCCAAUUAAUAUUAUAUAUAAAAAUUAUAAUUAUAAAAAGAAGUAUUUUUACUAAUAUACUGCAUUAUAAUUUGAAUAAUCGUCGCUAUCGCGCCUGUUUGACACAUGACUGAAUUUCUGUAAAUAAAAUUUUUUACGGGCAGUGUUCUG